CAACAGCACAGCCAGAUGAGAGAUGUUUGUCCACUGUGGUAUGCCCAAAAUCCACAUUAUUAUCAAACUUUCAAUGAUUUAUCAAGCACAAUAUUUUUUUCCGGGAUUUUGUUUGUGGACAGAUUUGUAACAAAAUUCUGAAAAUAUGGCAUGAAAUUGAUUAGUAAUUUCUUUAAGAUGUCAAUUUCUUCAACUGACUUUACCUACAACUUAUGCCUGCACAAAGUGUCCAAAUUUCUUAUUCAG
rnacentral:lncRNA from 1 species